AUUGAACGCUGGCGGCAGGCCUAACACAUGCAAGUCGAACGAGUGGCGGACGGGAGAGUAAUGUCUGGGAAACUGCCUGAUGGAGGGGGAUAACUACUGGAAAAGGUAGCUAAUACCGCAUAACCUCGGACGUACCCAGAUGGGCUUAGCUAGUAGGUGGGGUAACGGCUCACCUAGGAGACGAUCCCUAGCUGGUCUGAGAGGAUGACCAGCCACACUGGAACGGAGACACGGUCCAGACUCCGACGGUAGGCAGCAGUGGGGAAUAUUGCACAGUGGGCGCAAGCCUGAUGCAGCCAUGCCGGGUGUAUGAAGAAGGCCUUCGGGUUGUAAAGUACUUUCAGCGGGGAGGCGUUACCCGCAGAAGAAGCGCCGGCUAACUCCGUGCCAGCAGCCGCGGUAAUAC
rnacentral:rRNA from 1 species